GCAUUGGUAGUUCAGUGGUAGAAUUCUCACCUUCCAUGUGGGAGACAUGAGUUUGAUUCCCAACCAAUGCA
rnacentral:tRNA from 1 species